rnacentral:rRNA from 1 species
UACGUAGGGUGCGAGCGUUAAUCGGAAUUACUGGGCGUAAAGCGUGCGCAGGCGGUUUUGUAAGCCAGAUGUGAAAUCCCCGGGCUCAACCUGGGAAUGGCAUUUGGGACUGCAAGGCUGGAGUGUGGCAGAGGAGACUGGAAUUCCUGGUGUAGCAGUGAAAUGCGUAGAUAUCAGGAGGAACACCGGUGGCGAAGGCGGGUCUCUGGGCCGAUACUGACGCUGAGGAGCGAAAGCGUGGGGAGCGAACAGG